rnacentral:rRNA from 1 species
GAUGAACGCUAGCGGAAGGCUUAAUACAUGCAAGUCGAGCGGUAGGUGGCUUCGGCCAUUGAGAGCGGCGCACGGGUGAGUAACGCGUACAUGACCUGCCUGUCAGAAGGGGAUAGCCCUGGGAAACUGGGAUUAAUACCCUAUGGUAUUGAUAUUAUGAAUGAUAUCAAUUAAAGUUAAGGCGCUGACAGAUGGAUGUGCGUCUGAUUAGCUAGUUGGUAGGGUAACGGCCUACCAAGGCGACGAUCAGUAGGGGGCGUGAGAGCGUGGUCCCCCANACGGGUACUGAGACACGGACCCGACUCCUACGGGAGCAGCAGUAAGGAAUAUUGGUCAAUGCCCGCAAGGGUGAACCAGCCAUUCCGCGUGGAGGAUGAAGGCCCUAUGGGUUGUAAACUUCUUUAGAUGGGAAGAAAUGCUAGAUGUAUCUGGUACUGACGGUACAUCAGAAUAAGCACCGGCUAACUCCGUGCCAGCAGCCG